GGAGAUGACAAUUAGGAAAUUUCAAAAUUUAAACGCUUUCUUAUUUAAUCUGUACCAUGGUGUAUUAGAAACUAAUGUGCAGCUGGGCAGUGGUGGCUCACGCCUUUAAUCCCAGCACUCGGGAGGCAGAGGCAGGCAGAUCUCUGUGAGUUUGAGACCAGCCAGGUCUACCAGAGCUAGUUCCAAGACAGCCUCAAAAGCCACAGAGAAACCCUGUCUGGAAAAACCAAAACAAAAAACAAAAAACAAAAAACAAAAACAAACCCAAAACAAAAAACAAAACUAAUGUGCUUCUUUAUUAUGUCCAGAAAGUGUCAUAUGUCUCUUCUAAUACACAGGUCUUACACUGUCAAAGCCAGAGCUGCUCAACUCUCUUGAAGACAGCGAAGAACCCUGGAAUGUGAACAUGGGAGAGACAGAAGACAAAGAACAAGGGCAUAUUGACAUUUGAGGAUGUGGUCAUAGACUUCUCUCAGGAGGAAUGGGAAUGCCUAGAUUCUGAACAGAGGGCUUUGUACCGGAUGUCAUGUUGGAGAACUACAGCAACCUAGUCUCUGUGGGUCUUACAAAACAAGAGCUGAUAAACUCUCUUGAACAAAGCAAAGAGCCUUGGAAUGUGAACACAGGAGAGACAGAAGACAAAGAGCAAGCUAGAACUUCAAGGACAAUAUUGAAGAGAUACGGAGAGAGUGAACACGCUAGUCUUGUUCCUGAUUUUAGAGGAAUCACUUUGAAUUUCUCUCCAUUUAGUUUGAUGUUG
rnacentral:lncRNA from 1 species